UACGGAGGAUGCGAGCGUUAUCCGGAUUUAUUGGGUUUAAAGGGUGCGUAGGCGGAUCGUUAAGUCAGUGGUCAAAUUGAGGGGCUCAACCCCUUCCCGCCAUUGAAACUGGCGAUCUUGAGUGGAAGAGAAGUAUGCGGAAUGCGUGGUGUAGCGGUGAAAUGCAUAGAUAUCACGCAGAACCCCGAUUGCGAAGGCAGCAUGCCGGCUUCCGACUGACGCUGAAGCACGAAGGCGUGGGGAUCGAACAGG
rnacentral:rRNA from 1 species